UACCUUGUCUCUCCCAGAAACCCUAAUGCCCCUCCUUUCGUCAUGCGCCACUGGCCGGAAAUCGCCUCUGCCGGCGGCGAUUGUCCAAAUGCUCCCAAAAUAACACCAACAAUUCUCCUCCUCUUCCUCUUUCCAGAUCUACCAUUGCCAGCCCUGAAAUCGUAGCCAAUCCCGUCGAAUAUUCAAUUGAAACGUCAGCUGCUCCGCCGUGUACGGUGGCGCCGAUGCCAAAUGGUCUCAAAAUAACACACAUAGCCACUAGAUCUCCCUCAUCCCAAAUCCAUGGGUCCUUUCCCUUAAAUCUUCGCCAAGCAUCUCGAAUAUUAAAUCAAAAAACUCCGGCCAAACCUCAUUACCACUAAACCACCCAAAAAUAACACCACCCAGUCUCCUCAUCUCCCUUACCUCAGAAUCACAACCAGUCUCCCUUGACUGUCCCUGCAAGUCCUCAAAAUCUGAAUCUAGGGUAUCCGGAUUGGUGCAUGAAGAUUUUCAGGGUUUAAACACAUUUUUUAAGCUAAGUUUUCUAUUUAUCUUUUAAUUUCAUUCUUCUUUGUCUCAUUUAUGUAUUUUUAGCUGUUAGUGUUUAAUUCCAGAGUUUAGAUUAGGACUUUAAUUUGGUUUAAUUUAAUUAGCAUUACUCAUUUUGUUAGUUUGGGAUUUCAUGUAAAAAAUUUAUUGGGUCGAGGGUUUAUAGGUUUAAUUUGUUUUCAGUCUGGCUUGUUUGGAACUGAAUUUAUUGAUGUUAAUCAGGUUAUUGAGUCUUGCCUGAAUUUCACAUCCUUUAAUUCCUGAGUAUAGUUUGAGUUAUAGUAGGUCUUCAUUGAGUUGGAUUUCAUGUUUAAGUUCUACAAUUUGAAUUAGGUUUCAUGCAAGUGGUCUGAGUCCUAUUUGAAUAAGACCUGAGUUCAGCACUCAUUCUGUGUUAACUGAAUUUUAUUCAUCUUCUAUGUGUAAUUCUUGGGUUUAUAUUAGGUCCAGUAAGUUAGUAUUGAAAUUGGUUAAUCAGGUUAUCAUGUUUUAAGUCAAGUUAACCUUGUUAUUCCAAAAAGGGUUUGUGAUCUUUCUCUUGGGAAAGUCUACCUAGGCCAUGAGUCCAUUUGAGGCUGGAAACAUGAAGGCUCAGCAAAGAGCCAGCCUGAGUCUAUUUGGACUCGUUUGGCUAGGGCCAAUUGGCCAGCGGUGUUUUUAUACUAAGGGUAGAUAAUAGGGUUAGUCAGGGGUAGCUUAAGAAUUCUAGUUUAGGGAAUCUCUCAUAACUGAAAAAGAAGCUUCUAGGUUAGGGUUUUAAUUUGAAAUUCAGGAACUUGGUAGCAUAACUUGACCAACAAGUCAUAAAAUGAGGGUCUUAAGUAGCUAAAAACUGAAAAAUAA
rnacentral:lncRNA from 1 species